rnacentral:tRNA from 1 species
GGAGGAGUCGGAUAGUGGUCCAUUCCACACGCUUGGAAAGCGUGCAGGCGCAAGCCUACGUGGGUUCGAAUCCCACCUCCUCCGCAA